rnacentral:tRNA from 1 species
AAGCUCAGAGAGCGUCUGAUUUACAGUCAGAAAGUGGGAUAUACCAUCCCCAUCUUUA